GACGAACGCUGGCGGCGUGCUUAACACAUGCAAGUCGAACGAAGAGCGAUGGAAGCUGGCUUCUAUCAAUAUUAGUGGCGAACGGGUGAGUAACGCGUAAUCAACCUGCCCUUCAGAGGGGGACAACAGUUGGAAACGAGUGAUAAUACCGCAUGCGAUCUGACCUCGGCAUCGAGGAGAGAUGAAAGGUGGCCUCUAUUCAUAAGCUAUCACUGAAGGAGGGGAAUGCGUCUGAUUAGCUAGUUGGAGGGGUAACGGCCCACCAAGGCGAUGAUCAGUAGCCGGUUUGAGAGGAUGAACGGCCACAUUGGGAAUGAGACACGGCCCAGACUCCUACGGGAGGCAGCAGUAGGGAAUUUUCCGCAAUGGAAGAAAGUAGACGGAGCAACGCCGCCGGAGUGAAGACGGCCUU
rnacentral:rRNA from 1 species